rnacentral:lncRNA from 10 species
CUCUCGGCGGGAACAUGUGUUUCCAAUCAUCGGAGUAGCAGUGAGUCACCACCAACAGCUGCCGCUGUCUCCAUCUCCCUGCACUCACCUUCAGCCCCCUGUGCCGACAGCCCAGGCUCUGCCCCCACCCGGCUCUGGCUCAGCCAGCCUGACCCCCUGGAGUCCUGGGUGUCCUCCGGCCUGUGGGCCUCCCAGCGCCGCUAGCUCCCUGGUCUGAAGCAGUGCCUGCCUCCUCCACCUGGAUCACCCUGACUCAACCUCCAGGUCCCACUCGAGACAUCCCAGACAGCCCCCCCAGACCACCCCAACCCUGCUGGCGCCCGUCCAUUGUCCUGGGUCGCACCACAGUCACCGCACCCAGCACACUCUUUGCAAUGGUCUCUGUCUCUUUCAUAUUAAAGGAUGGUUUGCGCUGCAGGAAGGAGGGGUCACUCCCCAUCCAUUUCCCUGACGUCUGCACAGCCCAUGGCUGGUGCCCAGUAAAUACCAGUUGAAUGAAUACAUGAACUAUAGCCUUAAGAGGUUACAGUCAGUAGGGGAGACAGACAUCAGAAUGAGAAAUCUAUGAGAUAAAAUACAGGGAGUCUGGAUGAAGUCAGGGUGAUGAGCCACAGAAAUGCGGGGUCCACCUCUGCCGGUUGCUAGGACGACUGCAUCUCCGCCCCGCCCCAGCUGGGCCCCUCCCCGGGGCUGCAGCGCAUCGCCUCACUCUCAGCUGGCUGUUGCCUGGUGAGCAGGGGUUGGAGGCCAGGCCGGUCUUAAUGAGGAAGGAUGGCUGAAUGCGGGGCAGGCAGUGUCUGAUGGGGCUGGGAGUGACUGUGGGCUCUCUCAUCAACGAGGCCACAUCUAGGGCGUUCUGCUACCUCCUUCAAGGGGUCAGAACCACAGUCCCACAGGACAGGCAGCACCGACAGCGACCCAGAGCACCCUCUACCCCAGCAGGGAGCCCAGCCCAGUGCAGGUGCGGUGGGACACCACCUGCCCAGACAUCGGAGCCUUCCUCAUGGGCAUCCACAGCAACACGGCUCUGGCUGGGUGGCACCUUCGAGGGGAGGCAAGCAGGGGCCGGUGAAUGCAGGGGACGCUGAGGGGUGACGAGCCGUCAGCCUUGUUCCUGGGCCGGAGAGCACCAGGACAGAACCAGGGUAGCCAGUCACGCAAGAGGCAAGGCAGAGUGUGAUGGGUGACAGGGCUGUCACAGGUGUCCACAGAGCCUAGGGGCCCUCUGGGGGCUGAGAGGAAGGGUGGCCAUGCCAAAAAGUGAGUUAACGAGUCAGACUCAAAUCUCCAGAAACCAGCUGGGAAUGGCGAGAAGGAUCUGAAUCGCUUUCCAAGAAGCUUGGCUCCUUCUCACCUUUCUCCUGCCUCACUGCCUCUGAUCUCGGUGGUAGUGACCACAGCCACCCCCAAGCCUGCUCUUCCUGCUGUCCAGCACUCCAGCUCAAGGUUGAAUGAGGACCUUCAGGAACUCUGCCCCUCACCCCAACCCAUCCUCCCCAGGAGGAAUCCAGGGACUCAGACCUGUCCCAGGCUUCAGGAAGCCGGUUCCAGAGGACGUGAGGCUGAGUUUGAAACUGGAGCUGCCGGCUCCCUGCCCCUGAGACUGCCCUGGACACUCCCCUGAGGGCCGGAGUUCCAGCCAUCGGCAGGGGGUCAAUUUCCCGGGUGUGUGGGGCCAACGUCCAUGCUGUCUCUGGAUGAGAACAUCUGGCUCUCUAGGAACCUGCCAGAAAGAACGUGGGGGCUUCGGGUCCGUUCAAGCUGUCUCCACAGAGAGAACGUGACCUGCUCAGGGGAAGAUGGCUCUCAUCCAGACUGGGAGGGCGAGGCCACCGAGAAGAGCAGCAUCCUCCCGCCAGCCCGGCGCAGCAGGGAGGGCGUCCUGCCUGGUGGCCUGAGACGGGAGCGACAGGGAGGAGGCCUUGGCACUUCCUCCGGCCCCGGACAGGAUUCAUCAGGUCCAGCCUGGGAGGUGUUCGCCUGGUGUGUUCAGGCGAGGGUGCACAC